AGAGUUUGAUCCUGGCUCAGAGUGAACGCUGGCGGCAGGCCUAACACAUGCAAGUCGAACGGCAGCACAGAGGAGCUUGCUCCUUGGGUGGCGAGUGGCGGACGGGUGAGGAAUACGUCGGAAUCUGCCUAUUUGUGGGGGAUAACGUAGGGAAACUUACGCUAAUACCGCAUACGACCUACGGGGUGAAAGCGGAGGACCUUCGGGCUUCGCGCAGAUAGAUGAGCCGACGUCGGAUUAGCUAGUUGGCGGGGUAAAGGCCCACCAAGGCGACGAUCCGUAGCUGGUCUGAGAGGAUGAUCAGCCACACUGGAACUGAGACACGGUCCAGACUCCUACGGGAGGCAGCAGUGGGGAAUAUUGGACAAUGGGCGCAAGCCUGAUCCAGCCAUGCCGCGUGUGUGAAGAAGGCCUUCGGGUUGUAAAGCACUUUU
rnacentral:rRNA from 1 species